rnacentral:tRNA from 1 species
GUCCUCGUAGCUCAGGUGGAUUAGAGCGGUCGCCUCCUAAGCGGCAGGUCGCGCGUUCAACUCGCGCCGAGGACG